AUCUUGUUUCCAUUAAUAGACAUUUCUCUUUACAUCAACAACGAUUUCUUUACUAAUUUAUAUUUCUUCCAAAUGUCAUUAUAAAAUUCUAUAUACAUAUAUUGACAUGUUAGAAUUCUUUGAUAGUUAACAAACAAAACCCAAACUUGUUUAAGCCAGUAUAAAGAAAAUCGUUAGCUUAUGACCAUCAUUUAUAGGCACAAACAAUAUUUUCAUUGUCCUUUGUGGUGUCAGUCUCAUCUACAGGUUCUUCCAUUGACCCAUCAACUUGUCACAGAUGGCUGUGACUAAAGUGGAUGCCUGGGUACCUAAUAUAAUGAAUAACCCCAAAUGAAUCAUAAACUUAAGUGUAAAACUAGAAAACAUUUAGAAAAAAAUAUGAGACAAACUUAGGAAUCUAGGGAUAGAGAAAGGAGUUCUUAGACUUAUCAAAGCAUGAUUCAUAAAAGGAAUAAUUGUAAUAAUGGUGCCUUAUCAAAAUUAAAAACUUUGGCUCUGAGGAAGAUGCUAUUAAGAGCAUAAAGAGACAAGCCACGCACUGGAAGAAAAUUUUUGCAAACCACUUAUCCAACAAAGGACUGGUAUCUAGAAUAUAUAGAACUCUCAACUCAACAGUCAAAACAUAAAGAAUGAAAGGGAGGAGAACCCAAUUAGAAAAUAGGCAAAAGAUAUUUCACUGAAAAGAAUAUAGAUGGUAAAUAACCAAAUGAAAAGAUGUUCAAGAUCAUUAGCCAAUAAGGAAAUGCGAACUAAAAGCACAAUGAGAUAUUACUACACACCUUACAGAAAGGCUAAAAUAUAAAAUAAUGACAACACUCAGUGCUGACAAGGAUGCAGAGAAACUUGAUCAUUCAUACAUUGCUGGUGAAAAUGUAAAAAAUGGUACAGCCUCUCUGAAAAACAGUUUGGCAGUUUCUUACGAAACUGAACAUGUUACUACUAUACAAACCAGCAGUUAUAUUCUUGGGCAUUAAUGACAGAGAAAUGAAAAUUUAUGUUCAACCAAAAGCUUGUAUAUAAAUGUUUAUAGUAGCUUCAGUUUUAAGAGCCAAAAACUAGAACGAACCCAGAUAUCCUUCAACAGGUGAAUGUUUAAACGAUCCUAGUACGUCUAUACCAUGAAAUACUACUAAGCAAUAAAGAUGGACUGUUGACACACUCAACAACUUGGAUAAAUCUUCAGGGAAUUAUGCCAAGUGGAAAAGCCAAUCUCAAAAGGUUACAAACUUUAUGAUUGAAUUUGUGUAACAUUCUCAGAGGGACAAAAUUAUAGAAAUGGAAAACAUAUUCAUUAGUGGUUGCCAGGGGUCAGGGAUGGCAUGAGAGGGCUAGGGUAAGCAGUUAUGUGGGGGUGAUUAUGAAAGGACAUCAAUAAGGAGUCUUAUAAUGGAACUGAUCAGUAGCUUAUCUAUAUCCAUGUCAAUUUCUUGGUUGUGAUGUUUUACGGUAGUUUGGCAAGAUGUUACCAUUGGGGGAAAUUAGACAAAAGGUGCACAGUGUUCUGGACUGAAUGUGUAUGUCCCUUCCAAAAUUUAUAUGUUGAAACCCUUACCCAGUGAGAUGGUAUUAGGAAUUGAGGCCUUAGGAGGCAAUUAGCCUUCUAUGUUCUAUGAGGUCAUCAGGGUGGAGCCAACAUAAAUGAGGUUACUGCCUUUGUAAGAGUCAUGAGAGAGCUUGUCCUCUCUCUGCUCUCUGCUAUGGGGGGAUACAACCAGAAGUUGACAGUCUGCAACCCAGCAGAGCGUUCUCACCAGAUCUCAACCGUGCUGGCAGCCUGAUCUUGGAUUUCCAGCUGGCAGAACUGAUUAUAUAUUUUGGAAAGAAUCCUACAAUUGAUAAUACUGUGCCAAAUAUUCCACAUUAAGUGAAUUUUGAUUGAUUGAUUGAUUCAUGAGAUAAAUUUGUACUGCAGAAACCAAAAUGAGCAAACCUUUAAGGAAAAAAAAGAGCCAUCUGCUCACAGUGUAAUGCAGUGUCAAAACAUUAUAGUGACAUCCCUGACAUAUCCAUUCCCCCUGAGGUCGACUGUGCGAGAGGCUGAUCUCACAUCAUACACAGGAGAAGCCACAGCAGAAAAGAGCAAUGUGGUUUACAGAACUUAGAAAGGAAGAUACCAAGAAGUAGUGAAAUCAUAGUAUGUUUCGUUACUGAUAUUCUUCUAAGGUGAUUGGACAGAACAUGCCAGGGAAAGAUCCUGACUUUGACAGCUAUUGUAGGGGAACACUGGCAUAACUUUCUGACGUGUGAGCCUUGUUGUUGGCUGCUUCUACCUGGCAUGGAAAUUUGACAUAAAAAUAAUUAAAGAAAGUUUAGGCAAAAUUAUUGCUUAAAGGACCUCAUUAACCUAAAGGUUUACAAUGCUAUCCAGUUCUAUGUCAUUUGGUAGAUGUUCAGUCAAAGAUAAAUCAUUCAUACAGAGGUAACUUAGUAUCUAUUGAGAUGAGUCUAAAACGAUGGAGUGAUAUUCAUAUUUGCAGUUGGUUGUAAAGAUAAUUCUGUUAUUCAAAUAUUACAAUAUCUUGACAUCUUCCUCUAAGAAAUGAAAUUGUGCAGGAUAUAAAAAGAAAACAAGUAAAUAUUAAUUUAACAAUAUUAAAGAAAAUAACAAGAAAACAUUUUAGUACUCACCCACACAUCUUUCAGAACAGCCAUAAUUACAUGAAUUAUCUCUUAGUUUGUAUAUACAUGCUCAGUUUGAGGGAAAAGGAAAAGAUGUGAACAAGCUUUAGCAAUAUAUAUUAUCAACUUCUUGUACAAAUGAGAAUUUUGCAUGUAGAUUUUAGAAGUAAAAUAUUUAUUUUUAUUUAAAGAAGUUGCCCAAAUGCAUUUAAAUUUCUUUUCUGUAAUAGAAGCUGACAAAUUAACAUAAACUUUACCUCCAUGAUUUUGUCAUCUUUGAAAUGGUCCCUCCAAGUAUUAAGCUUCUCAGAGAUUCAACAGGGUUAAAUAAGCUUGGUUGUUUGCAGCUAUCCCUCUCAAAAUGUAUUUACAUUAAACCCUUUUUUACUUAUCAAAUUACUUAAUGAUUCUACUCCUUUGUAUAAUUCAAAAAAUCAUUGAAAUCUUUGUCUGCUUUUACCUCCUCUCCUGUAAACUCUUGUACUUUCUAUAUUCCUGUACCAUAAUUUUAGUGGGAUGGUAGGGGAAAAGUGGUUAAUGCCUAUGCAUAAGCCACCUGUUUCUUAACCCUUAUUUUGUUAUUAAAAUACUUAACUGUGCACCUCUUAGAUAUGUACUAAAUGCAUAACUCUCUCACAUUUCUGAAAAUUCUUCCUCUCAUGUUCAUGUCUGUUGUCACAGUUCCACCCUACAUUAAUCCUGUUUCUGAAACAGAGAAAAAAAUAUCCAGAAUUAAAUAUUCUUUGCUUUACAUUUUUCACUAAUCAGUGUUUAUUGCAAAUCCUAUAAAGCCGUAGCUGGUACGCAACUUGUCUCCCAAUGGAAACAAUGUUUUCACUCAUUGGAAUGAUGGGAAUUCCAGGAUUAUGUUUUCUGAGUGAAUGAGGUGAGCCCUACAAUUGCUCUGCCUUUUCUAUCUGAAGAGAAGCAAGUCCUGGAUUACAGGGCAAGAAAAGAGAAACAAAGCAGAACAUGAGAAUCUUGAGUUGAAGAGACACAGAUUAGAGUUUGAGGAGACUGAUCCUGAUGGAAUUUGCAGGAUAGAUUAUCAGAAAGAAGGGAACAUGGAGAAAAAUACAUAUAAUGAUCCUCUUUUUUCUUGGCUGAAUAUUAAUCUGCAUAUGCAUAAGGUGAAACUCCACAAACCCAAGCAAAACCAAUUGGAAGCAAAUUACAAGAAUACUAAUUCCUCUGGGGCCAGCCCCAUGGCCAAGUUGUUAAGUUUGUGUGCUCUGCUUCUGCAGCCCAGGGUUCGCUGGUUCGGAUCCUGGGCACAGACAUGGCGUUGCUCAUCAGGCCAUGCUGAGGCAGUGUCCCACAUAGCACAACCAGAGGCACUCACAACUAGAAUGUACAACUAUGCGCUGGGGGUGCUUUGGGGAGAAGAAGAAGAAAAUAAAAGAAUACUAAUUCCCAGGCCACACUCAGGGAUGGAAGACAUUCACAUUUUGUCCAGAAAGAGUAAAGAAACAUGUUGAAUAGUUGGAUGAUCAGUAGAAAUCUUUGAAGGAUUACAACUGAGUAGUAGGGCUAUAUUAGCCCUUAAGGAAAACCUGCUCUGGAACUGCCCUAAAAUUUUUUUUAAAAAGUCUCCCCAUAUAACUUAACUUCUUCCCAAAGUAAGCUUCAAUACUUUUUAGAGGAAGUCAAUGAAAGAUAAACACUCAACGGUAUGGCAUGUGCAAUAUCUAGGAUUUAACAAAACAAUCACUUGCCAUGCAAAGAAGUAGAAUUGUGAACCACAUAAGCAAAGCCUUAAAUCUUCAAGAUUUUAAAGAAAAGUAUAAUGCAAAAGAGAUAUGGAAGGUAUAGAAAUAAGAAACUGAUGGACCCUCUAGUGAUAAAAAAUAUAAUAUGUAAAUUAAAAUACUCACUGGGUGAAGUUAGUGGCUAAUUAGGCACUGAAGGUCAAAUUAGCAGUAAACUCAAAAGAAAUAACAAUUGAGAAUACCUGUGUUAGUCAGUUGGAGCUUCCAUAACAAAAUACUAUAGACUGGGUGACUUGAACAACAGAAAUUUAUUUUCCCACAGGAAAUAAAUUUAUUUUCCUUCUGGAGGCUAGAAGUCUGAGAUUAGAGUGCAUGUAUCAUGGUCAGGUUCUAGUGAGAGCUCUCUUCCCGCUUUGUAGACAGUCACCUUGUCUCUCUGUCCUCACCUGACCUUUCCUCUGUGCUCACAUGGAGAGAGAGAGUGAAUGAACUCUCUGAUGUCUCUUCUUAUAAGGGUAUUAAUCCUAUUUUAUCAGAGCCUCAAUAUUAUGAUCUCAUUUAACUUUAAUUACCUGCUUAUUGGCCCUAUCUCAAAAUGUAGUCACAUUGGAGGUUAGGGUUUCAACAGAUGAAUUUUGGAGAGACACAGUUCAGUCCACAGCAAUACUUAAACUAAAGCACAAAGAUAAAGAAAUAUGAAAAGGUGUAAAGAUAAUUGAACAAAGCUUUAGUGACCUGUAGGACAGUAGUAAGUUUCUAAAACAACUGGAUAUUCAUUUGGAUAAAAAAAAAAGCAUCUACAUCCUUACCUUCCACCAAAGUCAGAAAUUAAAUUAAAAUGGAUUAUAGAUAUAAACAUAUAAGUUAAAAAUAUAAAACAAAUAGAAGAAAAUCUUUGAUACAUUAGAAUAGGCAAAAAUUUCUUGGGACACAAAACGUAUAAAAUAUGAGAAAAAUUCCUAAAUUGAACUUGAUUAAAUUUAAAAUUUUCUGCUCUUUGAAAGACAGCAUUCACCAGUAAGUACACACAGAAAGACAAACCACAAACUGGGAGAAAAUAUUAGCAAUAGAUAUAUCUGAUAAGUGACUUUUAUCCACAAUUUAUAAAGAAAAAAUUCAAUUAAGAAAAUGAGCAAAUGAGAGUAAUGCACUGCUCUUGGUUUUGUAAAAUGGUACAACCACUUUAGAAAACAGAUUCCACUUUGGAAAACUUUUGGACACUUUUGAAAAACAUCCCAGAAAUCCUAUCCCUAGGUAUUUAUCCAAAAGAAAUGAAAAUGUAUGUUGACAAAAAUACUUGCACAAGAAUGUCCAUAGCAGAUUUCUUCAUAAUAGCUUAAAAUUCGAUACAACUCAAAUGUUCAACAGCAGGUGAAUAAAUUAAAAAAUUAUGAUAAAUUCAUAUAAUGGAACAUUAUUCAACAUUAUAAAGGAACAAACUAUUGUUACAUAUAAUAUGAAGGAAUCUCAAUAAACCUCAGACUGAGCAAAAUAAGCCAGAAAGAAAUAAUACACAAUGUAUAAUUCCAUUUAUAUAUAAUUCUACAUCAGGCGACAUUAACCUUUAGUGACAGAAAAUGUAUAAGUGGUUGUCUUGACUUGGGGAAGGAGGUGACUGAGAUGAUACACGAAAGAGCUUUUUGGGGUGAUGAAAAUUUUUUGUGUUGCAUUGUGGUGGUUACAUGCCUUGUAUACAUUGGUCACAUCUCAUAGAACUGUACUCUUUGCUUGGUGCAUUUUAUUAUAUAUAAAUUAUAUCAAAAUAAGUUUAAUUAAAAAUUUAAAGGACCAGCCCAAUGGCGUAAUGGUUAAGUUCACGCACUCUGCUUAGGCAGUCUGGCAUUCACAGGUUCGGAUCCCGUUGCAAACCUAGCACCACUCAUCAACCGAUUCUAUAGUGGCAUCUCACAUGAAAUAGAGGAAGAUUGGCACAGAUAUUAGCUCAGCAACAAUCUUCCUCAAGCAAAAAAAAAAAAGAUUGGCAACAGAUGUUAGCUGAGGGCCAAUUUUCCUCUCAUACACACACACACACACACAAACUAAAAUGUAUGUAUCAACUUCUAGGAAGAUUUCUGAGGCCACCAGCUUUCAACUUAUCAAAACAAAUUAAUACAAUUGUAGGGGAAGUUGUCCAAUUAAAGUUUCCUGUGUGUAAAUAAAAUACAUAGGUUCAAGAAGCAGAGCUGGGUUGCCCAAUUUGGUAGCCACUAGCCACAAGUGGCUAUCAAACCUUGAAAUGUAGCUAUUCUAUAUUGACAUGUGUUUUAAGUACGAAGAGACACACCAGAUUUCUAAGAUGAGGUGUGAAAAAACAGUUGUAAAUAUCUCAUUAAUAACACUUUAUAUUGAUUGCACAUUGAAAUGAUAAUAUUUUGGAUAUAGUAAGUAAAUUAAAAUAUAUCAUUCCAUCAAAUACAUAUUCAGUAUAUUAUGUUCAACAUAUCAUGCAUAUUAAAUAUAUUAUUUCAUCUAUUUCCUUUGGAUUGUAUUUGGAUUAUCAUGUGGAUUGAAUUUGUUUUUUAAAGAUUGGCACCUGUGCUAACAUCUGUUGCCAAUCUUUCUUUUUUCUUUUCCUUUUUUUCUUUACUUCUUCUCCCUAAAGUCCCCCAGUACAUAGUUGUAUAUUCUAGUUGUAGGUCCUUCUGGUUGUGCUGCCUCAGCAUGGCUUGAAGAGUAGUGCCAUGUCUGCACCCAGGAUCUGAACCAGCAAAACUCUGGGCCUCUGAAGUAGAGCUUGCAAACUUAACCACUCGGUCGCAGGGCCUGCCCCUGGAUUGUAGUUUUAACUGGGCAACUAGUUAUACAUUUAGGAAAAGGUAAAUAAUCCCACUAAGAACAUAGAUGUGCUAUGCCCAAAUAUGCAGUGCAACAUUGAAAUAGUUAUAGAAAUUAUAUUCUAAGGUAAUAUUUCUAAAGUGUUUGGUAAUGAUCAAGGUAUCAGAGAUUUUGCCUAAAAUAUAGUUUUUAGAAAAUGUGUUUGGGAAGUGUUUAGUUAAACAACACUUAAAGGGUUUCUAAAAAACAUGCCUUUUAAGGGUUUCAUCAAGCUAAUAUGUGCUGUGAAUCUUCAGAGAAAGGUCCUUAAUAUAUUCUUUUUUUUCCUUGACGCAAGUCAAGAGAGUCCUACUCAAGAUUUUCUGCAAUAAACUAUGAUUCCUCUAUAACAAAAUAUAUAUCUGAGUUAUUUUAGAAUAGGUGUCUCAUACAUGUAUGCUGGAAUUCAAAUUCAGAAGGUGUAGAACUACUUCUGUAAUGAUUUGGAUGAAUACUAACCAUUGACUUGAUUGAAAUGCUAUGCUUUUCUUUUCAG
rnacentral:lncRNA from 1 species